ACUGAGACACGGUCCAGACUCCUACGGGAGGCAGCAGUAGGGAAUCUUCCGCAAUGGGCGAAAGCCUGACGGAGCAACGCCGCGUGAGUGAUGAAGGUCUUCGGAUCGUAAAACUCUGUUGUUAGGGAAGAACAAAUUUGUUAGUAACUGAACAAGUCUUGACGGUACCUAACCAGAAAGCCACGGCUAACUACGUGCCAGCAGCCGCGGUAAUACGUAGGUGGCAAGCGUUAUCCGGAAUUAUUGGGCGUAAAGCGCGCGUAGGCGGUUUCUUAAGUCUGAUGUGAAAGCCCACGGCUCAACCGUGGAGGGUCAUUGGAAACUGGGAAACUUGAGUGCAGAAGAGGAGAGUGGAAUUCCAUGUGUAGCGGUGAAAUGCGCAGAGAUAUGGAGGAACACCAGUGGCGAAGGCGGCUCUCUGGUCUGUAACUGACGCUGAUGUGCGAAAGCGUGGGGAUCAAACAGGAUUAGAUACCCUGGUAGUCCACGCCGUAAACGAUGAGUGCUAAGUGUUAGGG
rnacentral:rRNA from 1 species